GAGGAUGAUUUUUAAGAGAGUAUAAGUGCCACCAAAUGUAUGUAUGAAUAUUGCAUGAAUGCUUUUGAAUAGGAAUGUUUGGAUGAUUACCUUUGAAUCGAAGCUUCUUUUUUUUGUCGUGUUUCAGGUUGUAGCCCCUUGCGAAUGACGAUAAAGUGAAUGGCGGUAGAAUCGGUUGUACUUAGUUUAGCUCGUGCUUGUAACUUGUUGUAAUAAAUUUUGUUCUUUAUUUUGGUCUGGGACUUGGGGUGCAGGGAUUUUUCCGUUCAAGAAACCCUUUCCUCCAUUUCUCCACUUGCUCGUCCAUUUAAAUGAAGAAAAGGGGCUGCCACCUCCCCUCUACUCCAAUGAAACUUUACAACGUUUUUUUGAAAGAAAACAAGAGGUGGCAGCCUCUUAAUUAAUAACAGUAGCGGGGCCCAAAUUUGGCCCAAAAUAACGGGCCCGUAAUCUGGGCCGGGAUGCAAUCGGGCCCGAGAACAUUGACAUUUCGACGUAAAAAAGCAUUACGAAACUAAAAGUACGAAAGCCCGGACAAAUUUGGUUACUACAUUAGCAAUUAGCACAAUAGAUUGAUAUAUUAUGAUGAAAAAGGUGUGCGAUGAAAUAGAGAAUGCUAUGGAAGAAGGAGAGAACAUAGUGGAGCUUCGUUUGACUUAUGUACCAUUUGUAAUGUGGUUCGAUUCUUCAGUCUGUGGAAGAAUGUCUUAAAUCAAAAAAUUAUAUUAGUUUGGACUCAAUCGUAACUACUUGAAAUCUCUG
rnacentral:lncRNA from 1 species